rnacentral:rRNA from 1 species
UACGAAGGGGACUAGCGUUGUUCGGAAUCACUGGGCGUAAAGCGCACGUAGGCGGAUGUGUCAGUCAGGGGUGAAAUCCCGGGGCUCAACCUCGGAACUGCCUUUGAUACAGCACGUCUCGAGUCCGGAAGAGGUGGGUGGAAUUCCUAGUGUAGAGGUGAAAUUCGUAGAUAUUAGGAAGAACACCGGUGGCGAAGGCGGCGACCUGGUCCGUGACUGACGCUGAGGCGCGAAAGCGUGGGGAGCAAACAGG